GUCCGUGUUUGGCAUUUCAAAAGCGGAGGAAAAGAAACCAACAGGGAUUGCCUUAGUAGCGGCGAGUGAAGCGGCAAAAGCUCAAAUUUGAAAUCUGGCUCUUUCAGAGUCCGAGUUGUAAUUUGAAGAAGGUAUCUUUGGGUCUGGCUCUUGUCUAUGUUUCUUGGAACAGAACGUCACAGAGGGUGAGAAUCCCGUGCGAUGAGAUGAUCCAGGCCUAUGUAAAGUUCCUUCGAAGAGUCGAGUUGUUUGGGAAUGCAGCUCUAAGUGGGUGGUAAAUUCCAUCUAAAGCUAAAUAUUGGCGAGAGACCGAUAGCGAACAAGUACAGUGAUGGAAAGAUGAAAAGAACUUUGAAAAGAGAGUGAAAAAGUACGUGAAAUUGUUGAAAGGGAAGGGCUUGAGAUCAGACUUGGUAUUUUGUAUGUUACUUCUUCGGGGGUGGCCUCUACAGUUUAUCGGGCCAGCAUCAGUUUGGGCGGUAGGAGAAUUGCGUUGGAAUGUGGCACGGCUUCGGUUGUGUGUUAUAGCCUUCGUCGAUACUGCCAGCCUAGACUGAGGACUGCGGUUUAUACCUAGGAUGUUGGCAUAAUGAUCUUAAGUCGCCCGUCUUGAAACACGGACCAAC
rnacentral:rRNA from 1 species